UGUGACAAUGCUUUCGACUACUGGGGAAAAGGAACAAUGGUCACGGUUUCAACCGGUGUUCAGUCACCACCAAAGUCGAUCUUUGGACUUUUGCCAUGUGGCCCAUCUUCAGGCGGGUUCUACACCAUCGGAUGCAUGACAUCUGGAUUUUCGCCGGCCGAUUCCGUCAACUUUAAGUGGACCGAUGGCUCUGGGACCGCCUUGUCUGAUAUUGUCCAGUACCCCGCAGUUCAGAAAAAUGGAGCAUACACCAAAAUCAGCCACGUGAAUGUUAAAGCACAGGAUUGGAAAGAUCGGAAACCGUUCAAGUGCGUCGCGGAGGGUGCAGGAGUGAUCAAAGAAACUAUCUUGGAGCCAGCAACUGUGCACAAGCAGUCUGCAUCUCUGUACCUAACAAAUCCUUCUGAAACGGAGCUAGCUAAGGGAACAGCUACCUACGUCUGCUUAGCCAAAGAUUUUUCUCCUAAAGAACACUCGUUUAAGUGGCUAAAAAACAAUGAGGAGGUGACAGACAAAAAGUACAUCUUUAGUACAUCUAUAAAAGAGGAAAAGAAUGGAAUGCACACCUUGUAUACGGCUACUAGCGUUUUGCAACUCGAUUCAAGUGCAUGGAAUUAUCCAGCAACUCCUACAGUUAGGUGCGAGUUUAAACAACAGGACAAGACCUUGUUCAAAGAGGCUAAAUCCUCAACCGUUCACUGUGCCUGUGAACCCAAGAUUGAAAUCAUUCCACCCACUGCUGAGGACAUGCUGAAAGAGAAAGCUGGUUCUCUUAAAUGUGUUGUCUCCGGCUGUCCUGUUAUGGUGGAUAAAAUCACAUGGAAAUCUGGUGAAGAUGUCCGUGUUUCUGAUACUACACAUGGCCAGGACUCAACAAUUUCAACAACUCACAUCUCCUAUGAAGACUGGAAUGCUUUAACAUUCACAUGUGAAGUUCACCACAAGGGAUUCGUUAAUCCUGAAUCUUUAACAUACCGGAGAGAAAACGGAGGAGAGUAUCGCUGUCCCUCUGUUUACUUGCUUCCACCUCCAGAACAGACAAAUGGCAAAGUGACCCUGAUCUGCUAUGUGAAACAUUUCUUCCCAAGGGAGGUGGUUGUGUCUUGGCUUGUUAACGAUGAACCUGUUGAUAAAACACAGGAAUACGAGCAGAAAACAACCAAUGUGUUGCAGAGCAAAGGCCUCUUUUCAGUCUAUGGCCAGCUUACAUUUGACACUUCUCUUUGGGAGAAGGGCAAUGUCUACACUUGUCAAGUGUACCAUGAGACUGGUGAGACAGUGAGCAUUACAACCAGAACCAUUGACAAAAGCUCACAGAAAUCUGCCUUGAAUAUGCCAAAGAUCUGCAAAGAUUCAGGAAAUUAACACUGUGUGUUUGGUGACUGUGCUGACUCAUGCUUAGUAGUGUUAUGCUUUAUGUGCGUU